CAAGUGAAGAAGCGCAUACGGUGGAUGCCUUGGCAGUCAGAGGCGAUGAAAGACGUGGUAGCCUGCGAAAAGCUUCGGGGAGUCGGCAAACAGACUUUGAUCCGGAGAUGUCUGAAUGGGGGAACCCAGCCAUCAUAAGAUGGUUAUCUUGUACUGAAUACAUAGGUGCAAGAGGCGAACCAGGGGAACUGAAACAUCUAAGUACCCUGAGGAAAAGAAAUCAACCGAGAUUCCCUUAGUAGUGGCGAGCGAACGGGGACUAGCCCUUAAGUGGCUUUGAGAUUAGCGGAACGCUCUGGAAAGUGCGGCCAUAGUGGGUGAUAGCCCUGUACGCGAAAAUCUCUUGGUCAUGAAAUCGAGUAGGACGGAGCACGAGAAACUUUGUCUGAAUAUGGGGGGACCAUCCUCCAAGGCUAAAUACUACUGACUGACCGAUAGUGAACUAGUACCGUGAGGGAAAGGCGAAAAGAACCCCGGAGAGGGGAGUGAAAUAGAUCCUGAAACCGUAUGCGUACAAGCAGUGGGAGCCUACUUUGUUAGGUGACUGCGUACCUUUUGUAUAAUGGGUCAGCGACUUAUUUUCAGUGGCGAGCUUAACCGAAUAGGGGAGGCGUAGCGAAAGCGAGUCUUAAUAGGGCGUCUAGUCGCUGGGAAUAGACCCGAAACCGGGCGAUCUAUCCAUGGGCAGGUUGAAGGUUAGGUAACACUGACUGGAGGACCGAACCGACUACCGUUGAAAAGUUAGCGGAUGACCUGUGGAUCGGAGUGAAAGGCUAAUCAAGCUCGGAGAUAGCUGGUUCUCCUCGAAAGCUAUUUAGGUAGCGCCUCAUGUAUCACUGUAGGGGGUAGAGCACUGUUUCGGCUAGGGGGUCAUCCCGACUUACCAAACCGAUGCAAACUCCGAAUACCUACAAGUGCCGAGCAUGGGAGACACACGGCGGGUGCUAACGUCCGUCGUGAAAAGGGAAACAACCCAGACCGUCAGCUAAGGUCCCAAAGUUAUGGUUAAGUGGGAAACGAUGUGGGAAGGCUUAGACAGCUAGGAGGUUGGCUUAGAAGCAGCCACCCUUUAAAGAAAGCGUAAUAGCUCACUAGUCGAGUCGGCCUGCGCGGAAGAUGUAACGGGGCUCAAACCAUACACCGAAGCUACGGGUAUCACCUUCGGGUGAUGCGGUAGAGGAGCGUUCUGUAAGCCUGUGAAGGUGAGUUGAGAAGCUUGCUGGAGGUAUCAGAAGUGCGAAUGCUGACAUGAGUAACGACAAUGGGUGUGAAAAACACCCACGCCGAAAGACCAAGGUUUCCUGCGCAACGUUAAUCGACGCAGGGUUAGUCGGUCCCUAAGGCGAGGCUGAAAAGCGUAGUCGAUGGAAAACAGGUUAAUAUUCCUGUACUUCUGGUUAUUGCGAUGGAGGGACGGAGAAGGCUAGGCCAGCUUGGCGUUGGUUGUCCAAGUUUAAGGUGGUAGGCUGGAAUCUUAGGUAAAUCCGGGAUUCCAAGGCCGAGAGCUGAUGACGAGUUACCCUUUGGGUGACGAAGUGGUUGAUGCCAUGCUUCCAAGAAAAGCUUCUAAGCUUCAGAUAACCAGGAACCGUACCCCAAACCGACACAGGUGGUUGGGUAGAGAAUACCAAGGCGCUUGAGAGAACUCGGGUGAAGGAACUAGGCAAAAUGGCACCGUAACUUCGGGAGAAGGUGCGCCGGUGAGGGUGAA
rnacentral:rRNA from 1 species